UUUCUAACUUCUCUCAGACUCUAUCUCACUCUUUUUCAUCUCAAUAUCAAUAUUUCCCCCAUAUUCAUUCAGGUAAAUUUUUGGGUAAGUAGCAUUACACUUAUACCUCCAAUAGACCUAAUGAUUAUACAUAAAUUUUUGAGGACCUUGUUCUUUUGUCAAUUUAUCAUUGUCAUAAUUAUAUUAACUUUUAUUCUGGACAAUAGUGGUUGGCCACAAGAGCAAUAGAUUAAUAGAACCACCUUUUAUGUUUUCUUUGUACUUUAGAUCUAUUUGGGAUCUUGCCAGACAGAAGUCCAAGUGUCAGCCAGAGCUGCUGUCUCAUAUGGGGCUCCUCUUUCAAGGUGAUAGGGAAAUGUCCUGGCCCACAUGAGAGAGUUGUGACUUUUCUUCACAGAGAACUCCUGCUUCAUGCAGUGCUUACUGCACAGGGAAUAUUGGAAAAGUUGACCAAGGCUGAAUAUUAGAAAAAUCUUUCCUUAGUAAAUUAACCUCAAUUCAUAAAAAAGUACCCAGAGUGAUAUUUACUAAAAAUGUGUGAUUUGCAGUGAUUUUGUUGCAUUGAGGGAUUCCUUUUAUAAAACAAAAAGCAAAGCUUUUUA
rnacentral:lncRNA from 1 species